rnacentral:rRNA from 1 species
GACGAACGCUGGCGGCGUGCUUAACACAUGCAAGUCGAACGGAAAGGCCCUGCUUUUGUGGGGUGCUCGAGUGGCGGACGGGUGAGUAACACGUGAGUAACCUGCCCUUGACUUUGGGAUAACUUCAGGAAACUGGGGCUAAUACCGGAUAGGAGCUCCUGCUGCAUGGUGGGGGUUGGAAAGUUUCGGCGGUUGGGGAUGGACUCGCGGCUUAUCAGCUUGUUGGUGGGGUAGUGGCUUACCAAGGCUUUGACGGGUAGCCGGCCUGAGAGGGUGACCGGCCACAUUGGGACUGAGAUACGGCCCAGACUCCUACGGGAGGCAGCAGUGGGGAAUAUUGCACAAUGGGCGGAAGCCUGAUGCAGCAACGCCGCGUGCGGAAUGACGGCCUUCGGGUUGUAAACCGCUUUCGCCUGUGACGAAGCGUGAGUGACGGUAAUGGGUAAAGAAGCACCGGCUAACUACGUG